AAGUUGUGUGUUUGUACAGUGAUAAUAAAGUUGUGUUUGUACAGUGAUAAUAAAGUUGUGUGUUUGUACAGUGUUAAUAAAGUUGUGUGUUUGUACAGUGUUAAUAAAGUUGUGUGUUUGUACAGUGUUAAUAAAGUUGUGUGUUUGUACAGUGUUAAUAAAGUUGUGUUUGUACAGUGAUAAUAAAGUUGUGUUUGUACAGUGUUAAUAAAGUUGUGUGUUUGUACAGUGUUAAUAAAGUUGUGUUUGUACAGUGUUAAUAAAGUUGUGUGUUUGUACAGUGUUAAUAAAGUUGUGUGUUUGUACAGUGUUAAUAAAGUUGUGUGUUUGUACAGUGUUAAUAAAGUUUUGUGUUUGUACAGUGUUAAUAAAGUUGUGUGUUUGUACAGUGUUAAUAAAGUUGUGUGUUUGUACAGUGUUAAUAAAGUCUUGUGUUUGUACAGUGAUAAUAAAGUUGUGUGUUUGUACAGUGUUAAUAAAGUUGUGUGUUUGUACAGUGUUAAUAAAGUUGUGUGUUUGUACAGUGUUAAUAAAGUUGUGUUUGUACAGUGUUAAUAAAGUUGUGUUUGUACAGUGAUAAUAAAGUUGUGUGUUUGUACAGUGUUAAUAAAGUUGUGUGUUUGUACAGUGUUAAUAAAGUUGUGUUUGUACAGUGUUAAUAAAGUUGUGUGUUUGUACAGUGAUAAUAAAGUUGUGUGUUUGUACAGUGAUAAUAAAGUUGUGU